rnacentral:rRNA from 1 species
GACGAACGCUGGCGGCGUGCCUAACACAUGCAAGUCGAGCGAGGAACUUCGGUUCCUCGCGGCGGACGGGUGAGUAACACGUGGGUAACCUGGCUCAUAGAGGGGGAUAGCCUUCCGAAAGGGAGAUUAAUACCGCAUAAGAAGUAAGAAUCGCAUGGUUCAAGCUUUAAAGGAGUAAGCCGCUAUGAGAUGGGCCCGCGGCGCAUUAGCUAGUUGGUGAGGUAACGGCUCACCAAGGCGACGAUGCGUAGCCGACCUGAGAGGGUGAUCGGCCACAUUGGAACUGAGACACGGUCCAGACUCCUACGGGAGGCAGCAGUGGGGAAUAUUGCACAAUGGGCGAAAGCCUGAUGCAGCAACGCCGCGUGAGUGAUGACGGCCUUCGGGUUGUAAAGCUCUGUCUUUGGGGACGAUAAUGACGGUACCCAAGGAGGAAGCCACGGCUAACUACGUGCCAGCCGCCGCGGUAAAAC